AUUGAACGCUGGCGGCAUGCUUUACACAUGCAAGUCGAACGGUAACAGGCCGCAAGGUGCUGACGAGUGGCGAACGGGUGAGUAAUGCAUCGGAACGUGCCCAGUCGUGGGGGAUAACUACUCGAAAGAGUAGCUAAUACCGCAUACGAUCUAUGGAUGAUAGCGGGGGACCGUAAGGCCUCGCGCGAUUGGAGCGGCCGAUGUCAGAUUAGGUAGUUGGUGGGGUAAAGGCUCACCAAGCCAACGAUCUGUAGCUGGUCUGAGAGGACGACCAGCCACACUGGGACUGAGACACGGCCCAGACUCCUACGGGAGGCAGCAGUGGGGAAUUUUGGACAAUGGGCGCAAGCCUGAUCCAGCAAUGCCGCGUGCAGGAAGAAGGCCUUCGGGUUGUAAACUGCUUUUGUACGGAACGAAACGGCUCUGGUUAAUACCCGGGGCUAAUGACGGUACCGUAAGAAUAAGCACCGGCUAACUACGUG
rnacentral:rRNA from 1 species